rnacentral:rRNA from 1 species
UGAGAGCGGCGCACGGGUGCGGAACACGUGUGCAACCUGCCUUUAUCUGGGGGAUAGCCUUUCGAAAGGAAGAUUAAUACCCCAUAAUAUAUUGAGUGGCAUCACUUGAUAUUGAAAACUCCGGUGGAUAGAGAUGGGCACGCGCAAGAUUAGAUAGUUGGUGAGGUAACGGCUCACCAAGUCAAUGAUCUUUAGGGGGCCUGAGAGGGUGAUCCCCCACACUGGUACUGAGACACGGACCAGACUCCUACGGGAGGCAGCAGUGAGGAAUAUUGGACAAUGGGUGAGAGCCUGAUCCAGCCAUCCCGCGUGAAGGACGACUGCCCUAUGGGUUGUAAACUUCUUUUAUACUGGGAUAAACCUACCCUUCGUGAGGGUAGCUGAAGGUACAGUAUGAAUAAGCACCGGCUAACUCCGUGCCAGCAGCCGCGGUAAUACGGAGGGUGCAAGCGUUAUCCGGAUUUAUUGGGUUUAAAGGGUCCGUAGGCGGACUCGUAAGUCAGUGGUGAAAUCUCAUAGCUUAACUAUGAAACUGCCAUUGAUACUGCGGGUCUUGAGUAAAGUAGAAGUGGCUGGAAUAAGUAGUGUAGCGGUGAAAUGCAUAGAUAUUACUUAGAACACCAAUUGCGAAGGCAGGUCACUAUGUUUUAACUGACGCUGAUGGACGAAAGCGUGGGGAGCGAACAGGAUUAGAUACCCUGGUAGUCCACGCCGUAAACGAUGCUAACUCGUUUUUGGGUUUUCGGAUUCAGAGACUAAGCGAAAGUGAUAAGUUAGCCACCUGGGGAGUACGUUCGCAAGAAUGAAACUCAAAGGAAUUGACGGGGGCCCGCACAAGCGGUGGAUUAUGUGGUUUAAUUCGAUGAUACGCGAGGAACCUUACCAAGGCUUAAAUGGGAAUUGACAGGUUUAGAAAUAGAUCCUUCUUCGGACAAUUUUCAAGGUGCUGCAUGGUUGUCGUCAGCUCGUGCCGUGAGGUGUUAGGUUAAGUCCUGCAACGAGCGCAACCCCUGUCACUAGUUGCCAUCAUUCAGUUGGGGACUCUAGUGAGACUGCCUACGCAAGUAGAGAGGAAGGUGGGGAUGACGUCAAAUCAUCACGGCCCUUACGCCUUGGGCCACACACGUAAUACAAUGGCCGGUACAGAGGGCAGCUACUAUGCGAAUAGAUGCGAAUCUCGAAAGCCGGUCUCAGUUCGGAUUGGAGUCUGC